rnacentral:rRNA from 1 species
AUUGAACGCUGGCGGCAGGCCUAACACAUGCAAGUCGAACGAAUGGCGGACGGGUGAGUAAUUUCUGGGAAACUGCCUGAUGGAGGGGGAUAACUACUGGAAACGGUAGCUAAUACCGCAUACUAACGGAUGUGCCCAAACGGGAAUAGCUAGUGGGGGGGGGAAAGGCUCACCUAGGCGAAGAUCCCUAGCUGGGCUGAGAGGUUGACCAGCAACACUAGAACUGAGACACGGUCCAGACUCCUACGGGAGGCAGCAGUGGGGAAUAUUGCACAAUGGGCGCAAGCCUGAUGCAGCCAUGCCGCGUGUAUGAAGAAGGCCUUCGGGUUGUAAAGUACUUUCAGCGGGGAGGCGGUACCUGCAGAAGAAGCACCGGCUAACUCCGUGCCAGCAGCCGCGGUAAUAC